GACGAACGCUGGCGGCGUGCCUAAUACAUGCAAGUCGAACGCAGUGGGGACGGGGGAGUAACACGUGGGUAACCUCCCAUCAGAGUGGCGAACACUUGGACACAGGUGCUAAACCGGUAUUGAUUGAUGGACCCGCGGUGCAUUAGCUAGUUGGUGAGGUAACGGCUCACCAAGGCCACGAUGCAUAGCUGACCGGAGAGGGUGAUCGGCCACACUGGGACUGAGAAAAGGCCCAGACUCCUACGGGAGGCAGCAGUAGGGAAUCUUGGGCAAUGGACGAAAGUCUGACCGAGCAACGCCGCGUGAGUGAAGAAGGUCUUCGGAUCGUAAAACUCUGUUGUUAGAGAAGCGGUAUCUAACCAGAAAGCCACGGCUAACUACGUGCCAGCAGCCGCGGUAAUAC
rnacentral:rRNA from 1 species